rnacentral:rRNA from 1 species
AGAGUUUGAUCCUGGCUCAGGACGAACGCUGGCGGCGUGCUUAACACGUGCAAGUCGAGCGGAAAGGCCACUUCGGUGGUACUCGAGCGGCGAACGGGUGAGUAACACGUGAGUAAUCUGCCCUUGGCUUCGGGAUAGCCACCGGAAACGGUGAUUAAUACCGGAUAUGACAUUGCCACGCAUGUGGUGGUGUGGAAAGUUUUUCGGCCAGGGAUGUGCUCGCGGCCUAUCAGCUUGAUGGUGAGGUAAUGGCUCACCAUGGCUUCSACGGGUAGCCGGCCUGAGAGGGUGACCGGUCACACUGGGACUGAGACACGGCCCAGACUCCUACGGGAGGCAGCAGUGGGGAAUAUUGGACAAUGGGCGGAAGCCUGAUGCAGCAACGCCGCGUGCGGGAUAACGGCCUUCGGGUUGUAAACCGCUUUCGCCUGUGACGAAGCGUGAGUGACGGUAAUGGGUAAAGAAGCACCGGCUAACUACGUGCCAGCAGCCGCGGUAAUAC